rnacentral:lncRNA from 1 species
AAAGGGCCCUCCAGGUGAUCCUGGGAUACCUGGUCAUAAGGGCCAUCCGGGGCUGAUGGGUCCCCACGGACCUCCAGGAGACACUGGGCAAGUUGGACCUCCCGGUCCUCCAGGGCAGCCAGGAUUUCCAGGACCAAGGGGAGAGCCCCCAUCUCUAGAGACUUUGAGAAGACUCAUCCAAGAGGAGUUAUCCAAGCAACUAGAUGCAAAGCUACCCUACAUCCUGGCUCAGAUACAGCCGGCACAGGUAAAAGCAUCCCAUGGCAGACCAGGACCUCCUGGUCCUCCUGGGAAGGAAGGACUCCCAGGAAGAACUGGCCCUCCGGGAGAGCCUGGC